rnacentral:rRNA from 1 species
AUUGAACGCUGGCGGCAGGCCUAACACAUGCAAGUCGAACGAGUGGCGGACGGGUGAGUAAUGUAUGGGAAACUGCCCGAUGGAGGGGGAUAACUACUGGAAACGGUAGCUAAUACCGCAUACCAUCGGAUGUACCCAGAUGGGAGUAGCUUGUAGGUGAGGUAACGGCUCACCUAGGCGACGAUCCCUAGCUGGGCUGAGCGGAGGACCAGCCACACUGGAACUGAGACACGGCCCAGACUCCUACGGGAGGCAGCAGUGGGGAAUAUUGCACAAUGUGCGCAAGCCUGAUGCAGCCAUGCCGCGUGUAUGAAGAAGGCCUUCGGGUUGUAAAGUACUUUCAGUGGGGAGGCGUUACCCACAGAAGAAGCACCGGCUAACUCCGUGCCAGCAGCCGCGGUAAUUC